rnacentral:rRNA from 1 species
AUUGAACGCUGGCGGCAUGCCUUACACAUGCAAGUCGAACGGCAGCACGGGAGCUUGCUCCUGGUGGCGAGUGGCGAACGGGUGAGUAAUACAUCGGAACGUACCCUGAAGUGGGGGAUAACGUAGCGAAAGUUACGCUAAUACCGCAUAUUCUGUGAGCAGGAAAGAGGGGGAUCGCAAGACCUCUUGCUUUAGGAGCGGCCGAUGUCGGAUUAGCUAGUUGGUGAGGUAAAGGCUCACCAAGGCGACGAUCCGUAGCGGGUCUGAGAGGAUGAUCCGCCACACUGGGACUGAGACACGGCCCAGACUCCUACGGGAGGCAGCAGUGGGGAAUUUUGGACAAUGGGCGCAAGCCUGAUCCAGCCAUGCCGCGUGAGUGAAGAAGGCCUCGGUUGUAAGACUCUUCGUGGGAGGAA